GACGAACGCUGGCGGCGUGCUUAACACAUGCAAGUCGAACGGAAAGGCCCUGCUUUUGUGGGGUGCUCGAGUGGCGAACGGGUGAGUAACACGUGAGUAACCUGCCCUUGACUUUGGGAUAACUUCAGGAAACUGGGGCUAAUACCGGAUAGGAGCUCCUGAUGUAUGGUGGGGGUUGGAAAGUUUCGGUGGUGGGGGUUGGAGGCGCGGUUUAUCAGUUUGUUGGUGGGGUAGUGGCUUACCAAGGAUUUGACGGGUAGCCGGCCUGAGAGGGUGACCGGCCACAUUGGGACUGAGAUACGGCCCAGACUCCUACCUUACACACCAGUCAAAAAUAUUACACAAUAACCGCAAGCCUGAUACGACAACCCCGCGUGCGGGAUGACGGCCUUCGGGUUGUAAACCACUUUCACCUAUAACAAAACUUUAGUAACUUUCAUUCAUAAAUAAUCACCGGCUAACUACUUG
rnacentral:rRNA from 1 species